rnacentral:rRNA from 1 species
GACGAACGCUGGCGGCGUGCCUAAUACAUGCAAGUAGAACGCACAGUAUAUACCGUAGCUUGCUACACCAUAGACUGUGAGUUGCGAACGGGUGAGUAACGCGUAGGUAACCUGCCUGGUAGCGGGGGAUAACUAUUGGAAACGAUAGCUAAUACCGCAUAAUAUUAAUUAUUGCAUGAUAAUUGAUUGAAAGAUGCAACUGCAUCACUACCAGAUGGACCUGCGUUGUAUUAGCUAGUAGGUGAGGUAACGGCUCACCUAGGCGACGAUACAUAGCCGACCUGAGAGGGUGAUCGGCCACACUGGGACUGAGACACGGCCCAGACUCCUACGGGAGGCAGCAGUAGGGAAUCUUCGGCAAUGGACGAAAGUCUGACCGAGCAACGCCGCGUGAGUGAAGAAGGUUUUCGGAUCGUAAAGCUCUGUUGUAAGAGAAGAACGGGUGUGAGAGUGGAAAGUUCACACUGUGACG